AUUGAACGCUGGCGGCAGGCCUAACACAUGCAAGUCGAACGGUAGCACAAAGAGCUUGCUCUCGGGUGACGAGUGGCGGACGGGUGAGUAACGUCUGGGAAACUGCCCGAUGGAGGGGGAUAACUACUGGAAACGGUAGCUAAUACCGCAUAACGUCGCAAGACCAAAGUGGGGGACCUUCGGGCCUCACACCAUCGGAUGUGCCCAGAUGGGAUUAGCUAGUAGGUGGGGUAAUGGCUCACCUAGGCGACGAUCCCUAGCUGGUCUGAGAGGAUGACCAGCCACACUGGAACUGAGACACGGUCCAGACUCCUACGGGAGGCAGCAGUGGGGAAUAUUGCACAAUGGGCGCAAGCCUGAUGCAGCCAUGCCGCGUGUAUGAAGAAGGCCUUCGGGUUGUAAAGUACUUUCAGCGGGGAGGAAGGCGGUGAAGUUAAUAGCUUCACCGAUUGACGUUACCCGCAGAAGAAGCACCGGCUAACUCCGUGCCAGCAGCCGCGGUAA
rnacentral:rRNA from 1 species